GAUCCUGGCUCAGGAUGAACGCUAGCUACAGGCCUAACACAUGCAAGUCGAGGGGCAGCAUGGUCUUAGCUUGCUAAGGCCGAUGGCGACCGGCGCACGGGUGAGUAACACGUAUCCAACCUGCCGUCUACUCUUGGGCAGCCUUCUGAAAGGAAGAUUAAUACAAGAUGGCAUCAUGAGUCCGCAUUGUUCACAUGAUUAAAGGUAUUCCGGUAGACGAUGGGGA
rnacentral:rRNA from 1 species